AAUGAACGUUGGCGGCGUGGCUUAGGCAUGCAAGUCGAGCGAGAACCCCGCAAGGGGGGACAGCGGCGAAAGGGACAGUAAUGUGUAGAUUAUCUGCCCUCAGGUCCGGGAUAGCUGCGGGAAACUGCAGGUAAUACCGGAUAACAUCUCCGGAUCAAAGGUGUGAUUCCGCCUGAGGAUGAGUCUGCAUCCUAUUAGCUAGUUGGUGGGGUAAUGGCCUACCAAGGCAUUGAUGGGUAGCAGGUGUGAGAGCACGACCUGCGUCAUUGGGACUGAGACACUGCCCAGACACCUACGGGUGGCUGCAGUCGAGAAUCUUCGGCAAUGGGCGCAAGCCUGACCGAGCGACGCCGCGUGUGGGAUGAAGGCCUUCGGGUUGUAAACCACUGUCAGAGGGGAUGAAAUGCAGGUGGGUUCUCCCAUCUGUUUGACAUAGCCUCAGAGGAAGGACGGGCUAAGUUCGUG
rnacentral:rRNA from 1 species